rnacentral:rRNA from 1 species
UAAGGAAUAUUGGUCAAUGGACGCAAGUCUGAACCAGCCAUGCCGCGUGAAGGAUUAAGGCCCUCUGGGUUGUAAGCUUCUUUUAUCUGGGAAGAAAUGUACUUUUUCUUGAGUACUUGACGGUACCAGAGGAAUAAGCACCGGCUAACUCCGUGCCAGCAGCCGCGGUAAUACGGAGGGUGCAAGCGUUAUCCGGAUUCACUGGGUUUAAAGGGUGCGUGGGCGGACUAAUAAGUCAGUGGUGAAAGCCUGCAGCUUAACUGCAGAAUUGCCAUUGAUACUGUUAGUCUUGAGUACAGUUGAGGUAGGCGGAAUGUGUCAUGUAGCGGUGAAAUGCUUAGAUAUGACAUAGAACACCAAUUGCGAAGGCAGCUUACUACAUAUAAAUUGACGCUGAGGCACGAAAGCGUGGGGAUCAAACA